rnacentral:lncRNA from 1 species
AAACUUUAUUUAAAUAAUGAUUGAAGCAAAGAAAUAUGUGCUAUAGGCAAUAGGCAAUUUUAAUAAAAUAUUUUAGACAAAAUGAAAAUAACCCAUAAAGAAUCUACACUAUGUUAAAAAUUUACACAAGGUGGUAAAAAUCAGGACUCCACACAGAGAAUGAGAAGGUACAAUCAACCUGGUGACCAAGUUGAAGAAAUUCACUAGAAUUAUCUUGCAAAUGGGCCACAGUGACCUCUUCAAGUGAACUGAAGAAUAAACUAAGUGAUAUUGUCA